GCCUUUCGGAGCUGUGCGGCAUUCUGAGCAGGAAUGGCAGUGUGGACCUCUGUGAUGGGACAUCUUGUGGGAUCUCACAGCCAGUUCUGUGGCAAAGGAGGAUGAAGGCUUACGAGGGCUCCUGUGACAAGUGGACAUGCAGUGACUGCACCUUUGUUUCUGAGGUGCCUGGAUGGAGGCUCAAAUAGAAGAUGGUGUCAGAUAUAUUGUGUUAAAAUUUUACCAUUAAAGUGUAUUAUAACAUGAA
rnacentral:lncRNA from 1 species